GAUGAACGCUGGCGGCAUGCCUAAUACAUGCAAGUCGAACGAAGAGGCCUUAACGAGAGAGUGCUUGCACUAAGGAAUUAAGAUUACCUCUUAGUGGCGAACGGGUGAGUAACACGUGGGUAACCUACAGUAUAGACAGGGACAACAGUUGGAAACGACUGCUAAUACCUGAUAACAUAACAUAUCGCAUGAUGAGUUAUGGAAAGGGGCGUUUGCCUCACUAUACAAUGGACCCGCGCCGCAUUAGCUAGUUGGUGAGAUAACAGCUCACCAAGGAAACGAUGCGUAGCCGACCUGAGAGGGUGAACGGCCACAUUGGGACUGAGACACGGCCCAAACUCCUACGGGAGGCAGCAGUAGGGAAUUUUCCACAAUGGGGGCAACCCUGAUGGAGCAAUGCCGCGUGAGAGAAGAAGGCCUUCGGGUUGUAAAUCUCUGUUGUAAGGGAAGAAAAGUACGAGUAGGAAAUGGCUCGUAUGUGACGGUACCUUACCAGAAAGCCACGGCUAACUACGUGCCAGCCGCCGCAGUAA
rnacentral:rRNA from 1 species